UCGAGGUCUCGGUAUCUGACCACUCCGUCCGCCUAGCGGCCGCCGCCGCAGCUUACUCCUCCAGUUGCAGCGCCGCCGGCACCGCUCUGAGUAAUGUCCGCGGCUGCCUCGCUGCCCUGAAUGCCUCCACCUCUGAACCAAGGGUUACAGAAGAGGUGGAGGUUGGGAGCGAGGAGAUGUUGUUUGAGCAACUUACUUCUCUGGCGAAAGAGGUGGCGAUAGUGGAGUUGGUCAGGGAUUACGCCACUGAGUGUGACAUUAGUUUCCUCGGACAACGGCGACGGGGAGAGCAAGGAGGCCGCCGUCGUUAUCCAUGGCAGCUGGUGGAGAGGCGACGGAGGCCGACGGCGUGGGGGGCAACCCUCCUGCUCCCACGUUGUCGCCGUCGACGCUGCUGCCGCCGCCGCGUCGCCCGUCGCCGGUCGCCCGACCUCCUCCCGCCUUGCCCCGUUGGCCGGCUUGCCCAGACGGGGGAGAAAAAUGAGAGAAAGGAAGUGAGAGAAGAGGGGAAAGAGAAAGAGUGAUGACGUGGUCACCCUGACAUGUGGGUCCCACGCUGACUCACGUCGGAGAAAACCGGGCACAAAACCAACCAAGGAUCUAAAGUGAACGGUUUUGCAAGAUGAACGAUCUAAUAUAUCUGGUUUUGUAGUUGGUGGACGAUUUUGUAUCUCAGUGAAUCUUCGGUGUACUUUUUCCCCAAACGGCCCAUGUUAGAGAUUACUUGGGCUGAACUAUCAGAUCCACAUGCAGCCCAAGCCCAUGAAUGCAUCCCCUCUCCCUGCCAAGGGCUCACUAAUACCAAAUCGUGUCUAUUGAACA